rnacentral:rRNA from 1 species
GAAACCAACAGGGAUUGCCCCAGUAACGGCGAGUGAAGCGGCAACAGCUCAAAUUUGAAAUCUGGCCCUUGGGUCCGAGUUGUAAUUUGUAGAGGAUGCUUUGGCGAGGUGCCUCCGAGUCCCUGGAACGGGACGCCAUAGAGGGUGAGAGCCCCGUCUGGUCGGACACCGAGCCUCUGUAAAGCUCCUUCGACGAGUCGAGUAGUUUGGGAAUGCUGCUCAAAAUGGGAGGUAUAUGUCUUCUAAAGCUAAAUAUUGGCCAGAGACCGAUAGCGCACAAGUAGAGUGAUCGAAAGAUGAAAAGCACUUUGAAAAGAGGGUUAAAAAGUACGUGAAAUUGUUGAAAGGGAAGCGCCUAUGACCAGACUUGGGCCCGGUGAAUCAUCCAGCGUUCUCGCUGGUGCACUUUGCCGGGCACAGGCCAGCAUCAGUUUGGCGCGGGGGAAAAAGGCUUUGGGAAUGUGGCUCCCUCGGGAGUGUUAUAGCCCAUUGUGUAAUACCCUGCGCCGGACUGAGGUACGCGCAUUGCAAGGAUGCUGGCGUAAUGGUCAUCAGCGACCCGUCUUGAAACACGGACCAAGGAGUCGUCUUCGUAUGCGAGUGUUCGGGUGUCAAACCCCUACGCGUAAUGAAAGUGAACGCAGGUGAGAGCUUCGGCGCAUCAUCGACCGAUCCUGAUGUUCUCGGAUGGAUUUGAGUAAGAGCAUACGGGGCCGGACCCGAAAGAAGGUGAACUAUGCCUGUAUAGGGUGAAGCCAGAGGAAACUCUGGUGGAGGCUCGCAGCGGUUCUGACGUGCGAAUCGAUCGUCAAAUAUGGGCAUGGGGGCGAAAGACUAAUCGAACCUUCUAGUAGCUGGUUUCCGCCGAAGUUUCCCUCAGGAUAGCAGUGUUGAACUCAGUUUUAUGAGGUAAAGCGAAUGAUUAGGGACUCGGGGGCGCUAUAUUGCCUUCAUCCAUUCUCAAACUUUAAAUAUGUAAGAAGCCCUUGUUACUUAAUUGAACGUGGGCA